rnacentral:rRNA from 1 species
GACGAACGCUGGCGGCGUGCCUAAUACAUGCAAGUAGAACGCAGUUGCGAACGGGUGAUGAAUGCGUAGGUGACGUCAUCAUAGCGGGGGACAACUAUUGGAAACGCUAGAUAAUACCGGAUACUUCGAGAUGGACCUGCGUUGUAUUAGCUAGUUGGUGAGGUAAAGGCUCACCAAGGCGACGUUACAUAGCCGACCCAUGAGGGUGAUCAGCCACACUGGGACUGGGACACGGCCCAGACUCCCGAGGGAGGAAGCAGUAGGGAAUCUUCGGCAAGGGACGGAAGUCUGACCAAGCCACGCCGCGUGAGUUAAGAAGGUUUUCGGAUCGUAAAGCUCUGUUGUUAGGGAAGCGGUAGCGAACCAGAAAGGGAAGGCUAACUACGUGCCAGCAGCCGCGGUAAUUC